UUGGUGAGAUAAAAGCCCACCAAGGCAACGAUCAGUAACCGGCUUGAGAGAGUGAACGGUCACAUUGGAACUGAGACACGGUCCAAACUCCUACGGGAGGCAGCAGUGGGGAAUAUUGCACAAUGGGGGAAACCCUGAUGCAGCGACGCCGCGUGAGCGAUGAAGGAAUUCGUUUCGUAAAGCUCUGUCCUAGGGGAAGAUAAUGACAGUACCCUUGGAGGAAGCCCCGGCUAAAUACGUGCCAGCAGCCGCGGUAAUACGUAUGGGGCGAGCGUUGUCCGGAAUUAUUGGGCGUAAAGGGUACGUAGGCGGUUUCAUAAGUCAGAUGUAAAAGCGUGGGGCUCAACCCCAUAAAGCAUUUGAAACUGUGGAACUUGAGUAGUGGAGAGGAAAGUGGAAUUCCUAGUGUAGCGGUGAAAUGCGUAGAUAUUAGGAGGAAUACCAGUGGCGAAGGCGACUUUCUGGACACAAACUGACGCUGAGGUACGAAAGCAUGGGGGGCAAACAGGAUUAGAUACCCUGGUAGUCCAUGCCGUAAACGAUGAAUGCUAGGUGUCGGGGGUCAAACCUCGGU
rnacentral:rRNA from 1 species